rnacentral:rRNA from 1 species
AUGUGGCUAGUGGUUCAUCGCCGGUGCCUGACUGCAGACAACUUGGAGCGGAGGGGCUGGCCCUCAAACGGCAACUGCCCUCUGUGCCUUGUGACGCCGGAGGACUGCACUCACCUGUUCGUGCACUGCAGGUUCACACAACAGGUUUGGCUACUGUUCAGAGAUUGGACACGGGCGAAUUUUCAGGUGCCGGACGAUCAUUUCAUCAAUACGGAAGACUGGUGGCUGCAAGCACGUAAGUUAGUUCCCAAGCCUAUGCGUCGGAACUUUGACACAAUCUCCAUCUUGAUUCACUGGAGGAUUUGGAAGGAAAGAAAUUCUAGAAUUUUUGAGCAGGAAGCGAGUAGUCCCUUCAGAGUUUUGGAUCGGAUCAUAGAAGAUAUUGAGAUAUGGAGGGCGGCCGGUUGUGUCACUGACACCGGCAACCUUUCUUGA